GCAUACAUACAAACAGUAGGAGCCCGCAAGGGUGACUGCGUACCUUUUGCAUAAUGGGUCAGCGACUUACGUUCAAUGGCAAGCUUAACCGAGUAGGGGAGGCGCAGCGAAAGCGAGUCCGAACAGGGCGAUAUGAGUCGUUGGGCGUAGACCCGAAACCAGAUGAUCUAUCCAUGGCCAGGCUGAAGGUGUGGUAACACACACUGGAGGGCCGAACCGACUAGUGUUGCAAAAUUAGCGGAUGAGCUGUGGAUAGGGGUGAAAGGCUAAACAAAUCUGGAGAUAGCUGGUUCUCCCCGAAAACUAUUGAGGUAGUGCCUCGUGUAUGGCUCCAGGGGGUAGAGCACUGUUAUGGCUAGGGGGACAUGGCGUCUUACCAAACCAUGGCAAACUCCGAAUACUUGGAAGUCUGAGCACGGGAGACAGAGCACCGGGUGCUAACGUCCGGACUCAAAAGGGAAACAACCCAGACCGCCGGCUAAGGUCCCUAAUAUUGACUAAGUGGAAAACGAAGUGGGAAGGCUAAGACAGUCAGGAAGUUGGCUUAGAAGCAGCCAUCCUUCAAAGAAAGCGUAAUAGCUCACUGAUCGAGUCUUCCUGCGCGGAAGAUGUAACGGGGCUAAGUCAAUAACCGAAGCCGCGGAUUCGCAGCAAUGCGAGUGGUAGGGGAGCGUUCUGUAAGCCUGCGAAGGCGGAUCUGCGAGGACCGCUGGAGGUAUCAGAAGUGCGAAUGCUGACAUGAGUAACGUUAAAGCGGGUGAAAAGCCCGCUCGCCGCAAGCCCAAGGUUUCCUGCUCUACGUUCAUCGGAGCAGGGUGAGUCGGCCCCUAAGGUCAGGCUGAGAAGCGUAGCUGAUGGGAAGCUGGUUAAUAUUCCAGCACCGAUUUCAAGUGCGAAGGGGGGACGGAGUCCUGAAGGUCAUCCGGGUGUUGGACAUCCCGGUUUACGAGCGUAGGAGGUUGACAGGCAAAUCCGUCAACGGAUCUCCAAGGCGAAGGAUCGAGGUUGAGAGAUCAACUGAAGUGACUGAAUGGGCUUCCAGGAAAAGCCUCUAAGCAUCAGCUUGGAAUUGACCGUACCGCAAACCGACACUGGUGGGCGAGCUGAAUAUGCUCAGGCGCUUGAGAGAACUCAGGAGAAGGAACUCGGCAAAUUGACACCGUAACUUCGGGAUAAGGUGUGCCUUUGUAGUGUGAAGAGAGAAACACUCCGAGCAUGAAGAGGCCUCAGAGAAUCGGUGGCUGCAACUGUUUACUAAAAACACAGCACUCUGCAAAGAUGAAAGUCGACGUAUAGGGUGUGAUGCCUGCCCGGUGCUGGAAGAUUAAUUGAUGGGGUGCAAGCUCCUGAUCGAAGUCCCAGUAAACGGCGGCCGUAACUAUAACGGUCCUAAGGUAGCGAAAUUCCUUGUCGGGUAAGUUCCGACCUGCACGAAUGGCAUAAUGAUGGCCACACUGUCUCCUCCAUGAGCUCAGUGAAGUUGAAAUGUUUGUGAUGAUGCAAUCUCCCCGCGGCUAGACGGAAAGACCCCAUGAACCUUUACUGCAGCUUUGCAUUGGACUUUGAACCGAUCUGUGUAGGAUAGGUGGGAGGCAGUGAAGCUAGGACGCCAGUCUUAGCGGAGCCAACCUUGAAAUACCACCCUGAUUUGUUUGAGGUUCUAACCUAGGAGCGUAAUCCGCUUCGGGGACCGUGCAUGGCAGGCAGUUUGACUGGGGCGGUCUCCUCCUAA
rnacentral:rRNA from 1 species